GCUGGGCGUGGUGGCUCAUGCCUGUAAUCCCAGCUACUUGGGAAGCUGAGGCAGGAGGAUCACUGGAACCCAGAAGGUGGAGGUUGCAGUGAGGUGAGAUCACACCACUGCACUCCAGCCUGGGUGACAGAGUGAGACUCUGUCUCAA
rnacentral:SRP_RNA from 2 species